UGGCACACUUUACUACAUUACUACAGUUAGAAUGAUCUAAAGGUUAGCACAGCUCCUGAGCAAGGAUGAUACACAAAUUCACGAAGCGUCCCACAUUUUU
rnacentral:snRNA from 1 species